rnacentral:rRNA from 1 species
AUUGAACGCUGGCGGCAUGCUUUACACAUGCAAGUCGAACGGUAACAGGGUGCUUGCACCGCUGACGAGUGGCGAACGGGUGAGUAAUGCGUCGGAACGUGCCGAGUAGUGGGGGAUAACGCAGCGAAAGUUGUGCUAAUACCGCAUACGUACUGAGGUAGAAAGUGGGGGACCUUCGGGCCUCACGCUAUUCGAGCGGCCGACGUCUGAUUAGCUAGUAGGUGAGGUAAAGGCUCACCUAGGCGACGAUCAGUAGCGGGUCUGAGAGGAUGAUCGGCCACACUGGAGCUGAGACACGGCCCAGACUCCUACGGGAGGCAGCAGUGGGGAAUUUUGGACAAUGGGCGAAAGCCUGAUCCAGCCAUGCCGCGUGUCUGAAGAAGGCCGUCGGGUUGUAAAGGACUUUUGUCAGGGAGGAAAUCCCUAGCGUUAAUACCGCUGGGGGAUGACAGUACCUGAAGAAUAAGCACCGGCUAACUACGUGCCAGCCGCCGCGGUAAUAC